rnacentral:lncRNA from 1 species
AGCACAUGCUAUUCUUCGCCGCGUCGAGACGGAAAGAGAUGUCGCCUUCACUGAUUUACGAAGAAUGACCACCGAGCGAGAUAGUCUGAGGGAAAGGCUCAAGAUUGCUCAAGAGACGGCAUUCAACGAGAAGGCUCACUUGGAACAGCGGAUAGAGGAGCUGGAGUGCACAGUUCACAACGUAAAACCAAGUUCCUGCUCCCCAUGCUCCCAUGUCCCCUCCAUUCUCUUCGUACUGCCUUAGGAAGAAUCCCUGUAGUUCUCUAAGAUUGUGUUUGCAGUCCUAAACUGUCUAAGGUGGUCUGCACGAUGUGUUAUUUCCUUAGUCCUCCGUCACUGUUCACACACUCAGUCUCCUCUAGAAAUGGCUGCAGCCUUUUAUUGUUGGUGUGUUUGGUUGCACAGCUUUUUUGUUUUCAUUGUUAAGAUGUAGUCUCAGAAGUAUUAAUUUUAAUUAAUUUAUUUAUUGGGGGGAUACAGGGUCUCAUUAUGUAGUCCAGGUUGGCUUUGAACCCAUGAUUCUGCUGCUUCUGAGUGUUGGCAUUAUAGUUCCACUACGCUUGGCUAAUUUUCAUUGUUUUCUGAUCUCUGUGUUCAGUUAAAGAUAAUAUUGCUAAAUAUGAGUAUAUCAAGCAUUUGAGAUGCUCUUGAUACAUAUUUGCAGUACAAAAACAGUUACAGGUUUGAAUGUAUGAUAUGUUCAUUUGAGGUAUU